rnacentral:rRNA from 1 species
AUUGAACGCUGGCGGAAUGCUUUACACAUGCAAGUCGAACGGCAGCACGGGUGCUUGCACCUGGUGGCGAGUGGCGAACGGGUGAGUAAUGCACCGGAACGUAUCCAAUAAUGGGGGAUAACGCACCGAAAGGUGUGCUAAUACCGCAUACGCCCUGAGGGGGAAAGCGGGGGAUCGUAAGACCUCGCGUUAAUGGAGCGGCCGAUGCCGGAUUAGCUAGUUGGUGAGGUAAAGGCUCACCAAGGCGACGAUCCGUAGCUGGUCUGAGAGGACGACCAGCCACACUGGAACUGAGACACGGUCCAGACUCCUACGGGAGGCAGCAGUGGGGAAUUUUGGACAAUGGGCGCAAGCCUGAUCCAGCCAUUCCGCGUGAGUGAAGAAGGCCUUCGGGUU